GACGAACGCUGGCGGCGUGCUUAACACAUGCAAGUCGAACGGAAAGGCCCUGCUUGCCGGGUACUCGAGUGGCGAACGGGUGAGUAACACGUGGGUGAUCUGCCCUGCACUUCGGGAUAAGCCUGGGAAACUGGGUCUAAUACCGGAUAGGAGCCAUUUUUAGUGUGAUGGUUGGAAAGUUUUUUCGGUGUAGGAUGAGCUCGCGGCCUAUCAGCUUGUUGGUGGGGUAAUGGCCUACCAAGGCGGCGACGGGUAGCCGGCCUGAGAGGGUGGACGGCCACAUUGGGACUGAGAUACGGCCCAGACUCCUACGUGAGGCAGCAGUGGGGAAUAUUGCACAAUGGGCGCAAGCCUGAUGCAGCGACGCCGCGGGGGGGAGGACGGCCUUCGGGUUGGAAACUCCUUUCGCUAGGGACGAAGCUUUUUGUGACGGUACCUAGAGAAGAAGCACCGGCUAACUACGUG
rnacentral:rRNA from 1 species